AGUGAACGCUGGCGGUAGGCCUAACACAUGCAAGUCGAACGGCAGCACAGUAAGAGCUUGCUCUUACGGGUGGCGAGUGGCGGACGGGUGAGGAAUACAUCGGAAUCUACUUUUUCGUGGGGGAUAACGUAGGGAAACUUACGCUAAUACCGCAUACGACCUGCGGGUGAAAGCAGGGGAUCUUCGGACCUUGCGCGAUUGAAUGAGCCGAUGUCGGAUUAGCUAGUUGGCGGGGUAAAGGCCCACCAAGGCGACGAUCCGUAGCUGGUCUGAGAGGAUGAUAAGCCACACUCGAACUGAGACACCGUCCAGACUCCUACGGGAGGCAGCAGUGGGGAAUAUUGGACAACGGGCGCAAGCCUGAUCCAGCCAUACCGCGUGGGUGAAGAAGGCCUUCGGGUUGUAAAGCCCUUUUGUUGGGAAAGAAAAGCAGCAGGUUAAUACCCCGCUGUUCUGACGGUACCCAAAGAAUAAGCACCGGCUAACUUCGUG
rnacentral:rRNA from 1 species